rnacentral:tRNA from 1 species
GCAGAUGUGGUGGAAUUGGUAGACACGCAAGCUUCAGGUGUUUGUGCCCAAAAGCGUGAGAGUUCGAGUCUCUCCAUCUGCACCA